AGGAGAUUGACGGCUACACACACACACACACGUGUCCCUGAGCUCACCACCUGGGGAUGCACUCAUUCCAUCUCUAUUAACAGGGCAGACAGAGCCCAGGAGAUUGGUGGCCACACACACACACACACACACACACACACACACACGUCCCUGAGCUCACCACCUGGGGAUGCCUUCAUUGUGUCUCUCAGUCUAUUAACAGGGAAGACGGAGCCCGGGAGACUGACGGCUACACACACACACACACACACACACACCUUCCUGAGCUCACCACCUGGGGAUGCUCUCAUUCCAUCU
rnacentral:lncRNA from 1 species